CUUGAAAUGAUUUUAAUUCAUACUGGACCAUCAAUUAUCAAUGAUAAACAAAAAAUUGUACACACUUUAUUUUAUUUACACAAGUAAAACACAUGACAUUAAGUCUACAUUAAACAUGACACACUCUAAAAAUGUCAAACAGUGUAUACUACAUGUUACAAAAACAAUGAGCUGCAUAAUAUAAGACGUUUUUAAUUUGCAUUGACCUACACUAAUCACGUGCAGUCAUCAAAGAGUCAAAUGACGAGACAAGUACAAUCAAAGCUUGGCGCAGAGACGACGCGUCUAACAAGAGAAGUUGUGAGUGCCCCAAAGCCAAUGUUUUCCUUAACACGCAAGACAUUUUUUUCAGUAUACGCAACACUUAUGCACAUUUAUCCACAAUCGCUCCGGUUACAUAAAUAAACUAAUAACAAUACAUUUUUGGUCCCUUUUUACAAACAUAACUAUAAUACAACACCAUUACCACACCAACUCUUCGACAAAACCCCACCCCUUUCCGGUUUCAGCCACUGCCUACUCUAAACCCUCACAAAUUUCCACCCACAAUUUUAACAAAACCCAGGCUCUUGAUCAUACUACUGAUACCAAUUGGAACUAUGGCGCUACAAGAUAACAGCUACAUCUCUUUCACAACUACAAUCAACAACAGAAAAUUCUUAAUACCUCAAGGCCUUCAAGUUUGCAUUCUAACGGAUUCAAUGUGUCGAGAUAUUAACGACUUUUUAAAACCUGCUCACUGCUAUGUUCACCCUGGGACCACUCUUCAACGAUCAACCAGUCAACACGUGAGGCACUUUCACAGCCUUCGCAAAAAAUCUAUUUUACUAAUCCACAUAGGGACCAAUGACAUCGCAAAUGGAGCAACGCCAACUGUCUUCCUACGAAGAAUGCAAACACUCUUAAAAACAAUCUCAGAAGUAAAUCAACGAGUGAUCUAUUUUGCAAUCAGCGCUAUAUUACCACGGAUGACAGACGACGGCGCUACAAAAUCUACAAUCAAACAGUGCAACAACAUGAUAAAACAUUGGGCUUCACAAACCAACAACAUCGUGUUUCUGAAUACCUCUAAACUUUUUCUCAAAAACGGAAAAAUUGUGAAAUCUUUCUACAGACACGAUGGACUACACUUAAAUAAAGAAGGAAAAAUAAAACUAUUCGCAUACUUUCAACAUUUCCUUUGGAAUUUUUGCCACUUCAAAACAUCGCCACAUCUUUCAUGAACUCAU